GGGGAUGAUCGGUUUCGACGGUACUUGCCGAAACUGAAUGAAGCGGGUCGAGAAUGCAGAGUUAUCUCGUUAACGUCCUCUGCAAACUAUAGGUGCCAAAUCAAACCGCACCGACUUCGCCCUAGCUGCAUAAGCUAGCCUCGAGGUCCGUCAGCCUAAAUUUGAUUUCGUUUUAGGUACUGGCGUCAUUUAGAAAUCUUGCUGGGUAGCUACGCCUUAGGGCUACUUGGGACUUUAACUCAGGCUGGACUCGUCGGUUAGGUCGCUUCAAGCUUUGACCGGAGUCGAGUAAAACAGCAUUGAAGCUACACCCGUAGAAGAGUCAGAAUCCAAAUAUCGGACGGGGGUUCAAUUCCCCCCAUCUCCACCA
rnacentral:tmRNA from 2 species